GUAGGGAAUCUUCCGCAAUGGGCGAAAGCCUGACGGAGCAAUGCCGCGUGAGUGAAGAAGGCCUUCGGGUCGUAAAACUCUGUUAUAAGAGAAGAACAAAUUGUAGAGUAACUGCUACAGUCUUGACGGUAUCUUAUCAGAAAGCCACGGCUAACUACGUGCCAGCAGCCGCGGUAAUACGUAGGUGGCAAGCGUUGUCCGGAUUUAUUGGGCGUAAAGGGAGCGCAGGUGGUUUCUUAAGUCUGAUGUGAAAGCCCACGGCUUAACCGUGGAGGGUCAUUGGAAACUGGGAAACUUGAGUACAGAAGAGGAAUGUGGAACUCCAUGUGUAGCGGUGGAAUGCGUAGAUAUAUGGAAGAACACCAGUGGCGAAGGCGACAUUCUGGUCUGUUACUGACACUGAGGCUCGAAAGCGUGGGGAGCAA
rnacentral:rRNA from 1 species